AGGAAUCAGGGAAGAUUAAAAGCUGAGCAGAAUGUAAUAUCUCUGAAUUACCUUCUGACCUUUUUGAGGCUGCAACCACUGGCUCAGAACCCACUUCUGGAAUCUACUCUAAAGAGCAAUUGACCAACAACUGCUGCCAAGUUUCCGAGUGCACUCACAUGAUUCUGGAAGUGGCAGUUUCAAGCAGCUGUGAUGAGGUGGUGAGCAGUGAGUUGCUCCUCACUCAUGCAGUGGGCCCUGGAAUGAAGAGGAGGAAAGCAGACCUGGAGAUAAAUAAAAUUCAAGAUACCUCAGGCUCUCAGCAAGUCACAAGAAAACAAGAAAACAUGAUGCUGUCUGAGCAAUUGGUACAGGAAGCCUGGACACAUUGCUGAGGAAAUCAGAACUUCUUUGCAAAAGAUGGUGACAAUCUGUGGCCAAGAUGCUGCCGGGAGAUGAUUACAGGCACAGGAGAGGAGUUUCAGGCAGGAAUCAAGACUCCGAGAGUUUGUGCAACUCCUGGAGCAUUUUGAAAAUUUGAACUUGAGGCCCGGCGCGGUGGCUCACGCCUGUAAUCCCGG
rnacentral:lncRNA from 10 species